ACCAGCAUGGUAUUGUGGUUUGAGCACUGGACUACAACUCUGGAGACCAGGGUUUGAAUCCCUGUUCAGCCA